UGCAAGGGAAAACCAUCAAUGUCCUGAGAACGUUCUUUAAAGUAAGGGGUUUCUGAGAGCGCCAGGAUGGGGCCAUGAGAGAUGAGGAGGAAGAGGUGGCCGCAGGCAAGAAAUCACUGCUGUUGCCCAAAUGCCCAAAGAGUUGCUGGUUCCAAAACGUGCUUCCUUUGCCGCCACGCUUUCAGCAAAAGGAUCCCCCACGCCAUGCUUCGCUCGCCUCCCGUCUCGAUUCCAAAUUGAAGUCUCACACCGGAAGAAUGCUCUUUAAAGAUCUCUGGAUAUAAAACAUAUCAACAAGUCUUUAGCAAAGGAAAUAGUGCCUGGAAAAUGUGUGAUUGGAAUAAAAGAACUGGAAAGUUAGAGGGCCUGCGCUGAACUGCAUCUUAUACUAUCUUCAUGAAAUAUAUUUACACACUAUGAAAACUCAACCAAUAAAAGUCAAUUUUUAAUAUGUGUCUUCGGGAUUCCCCAAGUUUAGGAGAGGUUUGUAUGUUUGCUUUGCACAGUUCUCUUUGUUGCUGAUUUAUCCCACACAUUUACGCUUAUAA
rnacentral:lncRNA from 1 species